GCGGGCGUGACGCAGUGGUAGCGUACCUGCUUCCCAAGCAGGCUGUCGUGGGUUCGAAUCCCAUCGCCCGCUCCA
rnacentral:tRNA from 2 species